rnacentral:rRNA from 1 species
UACGUAGGGCGCAAGCGUUGUUCGGAUUUACUGGGCGUAAAGGGCGCGUAGGCGGCAAAUUAAGUCAGCUGUGAAAUCUCCGAGCUUAACUCGGAACGGUCAGCUGAUACUGAUCUGCUAGAGUGCGGAAGGGGCAAUCGGAAUUCUUGGUGUAGCGGUGAAAUGCGUAGAUAUCAAGAGGAACACCUGAGGUGAAGACGGGUUGCUGGGCCGACACUGACGCUGAGUGCGCGAAAGCCAGGGGAGCAAACGGG